CACGGGAUGAAGGAGGGUUGCUGUAGGAAAUUCGACUCUUUUGUACUCUCUUCAGUGCCUCUUUGCUUAUAUGAUGUCCAAAACCAGGCACUCCUCCAGCAGAAUCCUAGUUUCUAUCAGUCAAGGCGUAUAUAAUCAGAAACAGAACUCUGCAUGCAACAAGAGAACUACUCCACCAUCAUCUGAUGUGGUUCUGAUGGCUGUGUGUUUCUCAGCUUUAUCCUCAGCCUGUGGGUAAUUUAAAAUAAAUACUUUUGCAAGUGAACCAAUAGAAAUAUUUCACUGUCAUUGGGCAGAAAGCUAAAAACCUAAUUACGUUGGAAGUAGGAAGAGGAAGUAAGUAUGGUUGGAAGAGGUGGAGUCUGGUGCUGCCAGAGCAGAAAGCACAAAGAAGAACGUGCUUUUAGGUGGGUGCCCUAAGAGACAUGAUAAGUGAAAAAGGUAGAGAAAGAAGAAAGUUGGAAACCCCCUUUUUUGCCACUUCAUGAUUCCAGCUGGGCUACACAAGGAACUUAAAGAAGCUUGCGAAUUGUUCUUGCUCCAUCAUGUCCUUCGGUGUCCCAGCUUACACUUACUCUUUAGGGAAUGUACUACUAGUUGCCUAAAUGCAGCAGGAGAACUAAAUAGGGAUUUUAAUAAAUAAGGGAAACAGAUGGAGGCUAGAAGCUCGCAAAGUUAAAAGAAUUGUGUGCUUAAUAGACUAAAUGCUUAAUCGCAGUAAUAGCUGCCAAGCCACCACAUAACUCACCAGUAUGCAUGAACUGUAGCAGUAAGAGAGUGACUGCUUUCAGUCUCAAGGACUUUCCUAAAAAUUCAAGGUUGUAAGAACCUAACCUAGAGAAUAAUUACUUGUCCAGACGUGAUAACAGACUCUGGCAGAACAAAAAUGACAGCUUGAUUCACAGACAAAUAUAAGUCGGUCUUGGAUGUCUGGCUUCCAUUUUUCUGUGGAGAGAUAGAUGUCUUUAAAAAGCCUCAGCAGUGAACAUCCUGUCAGUUAAAAAGGUCAGACACUGAAGUGUAUCAGAAGAGAUGAUGCUGCAUAGACCAUUGAGAGAAAAGAAAAUGAUUUCAUUAUCCUCGUUCAUCUGCUAUAGAUUAAUUCAGUUCCCAUCAUCGUAGCAAUUAAGGUAUUUUUGUAGUCCUGUCCUGACCUAGCUGAGGUGGAACAAGGUAAUAAAAAGAGGCAUCAAGGAGAAGGCUACUACAGCUGAGUUAAUACACCUUAGGAACAAGUGCUGUUAGUAACAGAGUUUGGGGUUGAUACAUUCAACUACAAUGCAUUAAGAAACACACACACACACACACACACACACACACAGACACACACACACAAAGCAUGCAAAUCCCCUAGAAACAUUUUCCUAUAUAUUAGAGUGUAAAAUUUGCAUCUUGUAUACCCAGUGAACUAUACCAGUGCUUGAAAACAAUUUUGUAAAAGACAGUUUUCUAUUCACAGUAUAUAAGUGGAUGAAACACUUAUAUAAGUGAAUGGAGAAAUAGAAGAAUGCUGGAAGGAUUGCUGCCCUCCAGGUCAAAUGGAGGGCUUAUUUAUUUUUUAUUUUUUUGCCAACCUGAGCUCUCAAUAGUUUGAGUGCAGCAUCUAGAAAGAGGACAUAACAGAUCCUCCUAAACUAGCUCCUUCUAAUUUUCUAUUUGCUCAGUCACUCUAGUUUAAAACCUUUGUCUUCAUGUUUAGCCACUCUUCUAGCACUCCUUAUACUAUUUGCCAAUUUAUAUUCCUUCCACUUCCUUCUAUUCAUUGUGCCUUCACAAGGUCAUAUCACUCCCCUUCUUUCCACUUUCACUUACACAGUCCUCACAGAAGCCCUCAUUACUCCUCACUUGGACAACCAUUAUAGCUUUCUAACUCACUCCCCACCUAUCCUUUUCAAACUCUAAUGUAUCCUACUCUCAACCAACAUAUUAAUCUUUCUAAACCUUAUCUUUAAUCGUGUCACCCCCUUGCUUGAAAAUGUCAAAAGGCUUUCCAGUGACUACUAAAUGAAAUGCUAAGUUAUCACCCUAGCACCCAAGGCUCCCCAGAGCAAGCAGCAGCCAACCAUUGGUGCCUUAUUUCCCAGUAGUCUUUUAUCCCCCCUGUACUCUGAUCUAUCCAGCCAGCCCAUGAACUGCUUCUUAGACACAUCUCCUGAACAGUUCCAUUUACGCUUCUACUCAUUCUUUUCCUUGUUAUUGGAAUGCCAUUUCCCUCACUUUAACUUGGAGUUCAUUCCAUCCUCCAAGGUCAGUCAUUCCUUCAGGUAACAUUUCUUGACUUCACCCUACUGAACAUAAUUCUCCAUUAUUUGUACCUCUCUUAAGGUACUAAUUAUAACCUUAUAGAACAGUUAAAAUAUUGAAGGGACUUGAAAUAAGAGCUAUUUAAACCUGUCUCUACAUAAUAAAAUAUUUUUUUAUUUUUACAUAAUAAAAAUUCAGCAAAAUUGAGUAAGAGCCAACUCCAUGCUUGAAAUGCAUCAAUGAACAAAGAAAAGCCUUACAAUCUAGAGGGAGGAAACAGACACCUAGACAUUUCAAAAUAUACAAAGUAAAUAAUAAGUAAAUUAUAUAACAUACUAUAUGUUGGCAAGUGUGAUUUUAAAAAAUAGAGUAAAGGGGAUGAGGGAGUCAGGACAGGUUGCAAUUCUAACUUUGGUUGUUAGGCCUCUUUACAAAGGCAGUAUUUAAGAAAAGACCUAAAGGAGAUAAAGGAGUUUGCCACAUAUCUACCUGGGCAACACGCAACCUCAGCAAAGGAAAUCUCAUCCUAUGCAAAGGCCCUGAGGCCUGUGCUGUUCAAUAAAGAGCAAAGAGUCAGGUGUGUCUGGAAUAGAAUGAGCAAGGAAGAAAGAGAAAAUGAGGUCAGAGAAAUAAAGAGGACAGAAGGAAGAGCUUGGAAGGUUUUUAGUUCAUUGUAGGACUCCAUUCAGUAAAACAGGAGAAACUGCAAGUUUUUCACACAUCCCGAGUAAAGGAGUGACAUAAUCUGACUUGCAUUUUGAAAGGAUCAUUCUGAUUGCUCUGUCGAGAUUACAUUGUGCAGGCAAAGAUAGGAGCAAGGGUACCUAUUAGGAAAGUAUAUUAUGUGAAUCUGGUAAGAGAUGACGAUGGUUUAGGUUAAAGUGAUAGUAAUAAAAGUAAUGGGAAGUGGUCAAAAUAUGGCUAUAUUUUCAUGGUAGAGCCAAUGAGAUUUUCUUGUAGAUUAAAUGUGGAAUGGAAAUAAAGAAAAGAGUCAAGAAUAACUAAGAUUUUUGGCUAAACAACUUACAAUGGAGUCAGAUCAAUUGAGAUGUAGAAGUUCGUGGGUUAAACCAUUUGGGGAGAAGGGCAAAUAUUAAAUGUUCACUUUUGAACAUACUUUCAGUUUGAGAUUUCUACUAGGUAUCUGAGUUGAAAAAUUGAGCAGGCAGUUCGAUGAGUCCAACUAUAAAAUGGGGAUAAUAAAUCUUACAAUAAUGAACAGAGGUGACCUGAAAAUUCAUAAAAGAUAAAAUAUAUGUACAAAUUUCAUCUUUGUUUAUGCUAUACUGCAUGUGAUUUUAUUAUUAUUGAGUUUGUGUAUGUGGUAUGUAUGUAUUUGUGUUUAUUAUGUAUUCUAUAUCAUCUGGAUGCCAAAUCUAUGUUUACUUUUUCAUUUUCAAAAAAAUAUUAGCUUUCUCUUGUUACAAAUUAAUGCAUCUUCAUUGUAGGAGAUACACUUCACCCAAAGUAAAAACUGUUAACAUUUCAAAGUAUAUUAUUCUUGAACUUUAUUUUUGAAGGAUUUUUACUUUUUGGGCAUCACCCUCAUAAUUUUACCCUUUGAAUUGAUGUGUUUAAAAUAUUCAUUUCAAUUAAAAUAUGUGUCUCAGGUUUUCAAAACAUAAGCUAUUUAAAAGAGACAUAGAAAACUACGCUUUCUUGACUGCUUUACAACUUCCUCCAUUUCCUUGGGUGGUGUUAACUUUAGCCAAAAGCUGCCUUCUUACAUAUUUUAAGUUUGGCCUGAAGGUUUCCCCAUAUAUAGUGCUCUGUAACCUAACUGGAUGUGUAAACAUGCUGUAAUAUACUCUUUUACCAAUCACUGAGUUUCGGCCAAUCAAAGGCAGGCAAAUGUUGAAACCAUGUCCAAAUAAGACAAACGCUGAGCUGUGACCAAUCCAGCUGUUCUCUGUAGCUCACUUCUGUUUUCUGUACAUCACUCUUCUUUUUCAGUCCAUAAAUUUUCUUUGACCACACAGCACAGACAGAGUCUCUCUAAACCUAUUCUGGUUCGGGUGCUGCCUGAUUCGUGAAUCAUUCUUUGCUCAAUUAAACUUUGUUACCUUUAUCUAAGGUUUUUCUUUUAACAAUUGUAAAACUGAAACUUGAAUCCAAGAUUUUCAAGUUACAAAAAAAGCAUUCUUUUUUUAUAUUACACCUUCAAUAUGUAAAAAAUAAGUACAUAAAUAAAAAAAUAGAUCUUUCAUUUCAGAAUCUCCUAUGGAGGAUCCUCAAUAAUUGCCAUAAACCCACUAACAUGAACUGUGUGAUUUUGUCAUGAAUUUUUAACCUAAUGCCUGGCUCUAUUUUAUGUUUUUCUUUACUGUCUUAUUCCUAAUGUAUACCAUCUAAUUGCAUCUUAUGUGUGUCUUUUUAAGUUUUUUUUUUAAUCCUUUCUGGAACAAGGCACAAAUCAACAAACCAAUAAACAGAUUUAUAAACAGAUUUAUGCCAUGUACAUAGGUCCUAGAUAUGAGUUACUGCAAAUUGUCUGACUCCCAGGUGAGACAGAGGAAAAGAUAUUGACACACAGUAUGGCAACUUUAAAUACUCGUAAUUGCAUACUUUGGAAAAAGGUGGCUUUUGUUUCUUAGAUUGGCUCAUUAUGAAAAAAGAAAAAAUUGUCUUACACACUUCCUCUAUCACUUUCUUUUCCAGUUGGAAGAAAAAAAAACCGAUUAAUCAAAUAUUGCUGCAAAAGCCAACCCCCC
rnacentral:lncRNA from 10 species